CAUUUAUGUAAGUCACAGGAGUAGCGCUUAUUCAAGAGCUGCCAGGAUGUUGGACUGUCUGCCAACAAUGAAUGGAGCUACUGUAAACACCCACAUGCAGACUUUUGAGCGAAUAUAGCUUCCAACUCCUUUGGGCAGAUGGCCAGUGUCCUCAUCUGUAUGUACUGCACCAACAGCACUGUGUGAAGAGAAGGGGUCCUACCAAAUAACUUACUGACCAAUGAGGAAUGUAAGCUCCACCAUCAGCCGCUGCCGCCACCACCAAUGACAAUGACAAUGGUGACAGUGAUGAUGAUUGAUGGUGGUGGUGAUGAUGAUGAUGUCAGCUUUGACCUUCAUGCCAUAGUAACCAGAGAGGAACACCACCCAGAGACCAAGACCAUCUACAGAUCAGAACAAGGAGGAAGAAUGAGAAGAGGAGGAACAGGAGAAGGAACAAGAGCAGGAGGAAGAGAUGCAGGCAGCAACAUCACCUGCUAGGGCAUGUCGACAAGAACCCAACUUCCAUCCAAAGAAAUUGCACUUUUUAUAAGUUCCAUCCCCUCCCAGUGGCGCCACCUACUGGCAAGCAAAGCAUACAGACCUUUUGGAGAUGUUCCAGAAACAAACUGAAACUAUUCCCACAUGAACCCCUCUAUCCCCUGACUUUCUUCCCUCGGUUUCUGUUUCCUCCUCUGCCCGAGGCUGUCAACAAUGGUCUGCAAUUCUGCCUAACCCACUUUUCCUGUGAUCUUGCCAGGUAAGAAACUCAAGAACCCUCUUCAAUAAUAACAUCACUGGAGCCAGCAAGGCCCUUCUGCCCAGGAGGCCUAGACAUCCUGGCAGAGGGUGUGUUGACUGCAUUCACGCUGUCUGGCUUCAGCUGACAGUGCCCAGAUGUUCAGUUUCCAGACCUCUCCAAGGUCGUCUUCAUCUUCUUCUGAAGGUGCAGGGAUGCAGCCUUCCUGUGACCUCAGGGUGAUACCAGUCACUCUAGAAAAGAAAGAUCAAAGAAAUAGAUGAAAUCCUACCUUGUAUAUAAAUAUCUGUCUA
rnacentral:lncRNA from 1 species